GACCCAGCACAGUGCAGUGGUUUGUACACUGGACUAUGACUUUAGAGACCAUGGUUCAAAUCCCUGCUCAGCCA